GGAUGAAGGUAAAGGCAGACCGAGAUGAAUCCUCACCAUAUGCUGCUAUGUUGGCUGCCCAGGAUGUGGCCCAGAGGUGCAAGGAGCUGGGUAUCACCGCCCUACACAUCAAACUCCGGGCCACAGGAGGAAAUAGGACCAAGACCCCUGGACCUGGGGCCCAGUCGGCCCUCAGAGCCCUUGCCCGCUCGGGUAUGAAGAUCGGGCGGAUUGGUAAGUGCCCCCCUCUAGCUAAUGCUUGGGUUUAUUUUGAAGCAUUGGCCCCAAAAAGCACGUGCUGUGCCCAGUGGAUGUGCAGCGGCUGGUCUGGUCACUUUUGGCAGUUAAGUUUGUUAAGGGAGGCUGCAAGAGGCACCUUGUGACUUAAAAAUCUCUCCCUGAAUAUCUCUGUCACCUUG
rnacentral:lncRNA from 1 species